AAAAUUUUGGAACGCUUCACGAACUUGCGCGUCAUCCUUGUGCAGGGGCCAUGCUGAUCGUCUCUGUAUUGUUUCAGUUUCAGUAUAUGCCAAGGAAUGAAC
rnacentral:snRNA from 1 species